rnacentral:misc_RNA from 1 species
GUUUCGGCCAGCCCCACCCUGCCAUGCGGCAGCGCCGUUGCGCUGCUCUGAUUCAAGCGAUGCCAUGUGGAAAGAGUGGCGGAGCCCACCCGUGCGAGCAGACCGCCCCCAGCCCGGCAGCCCGAGCCGCGCCUACGUCGAGGGGCCCGCAAACCGCCAGUCCUACGCGCUAUUCUCUUGAGCAUCGCGGUGGGCUUGCCGAGGGUAGAGCCCAACAGGAUACCCGGACCGCAUCACGCCUUCUUCCCUGAUAUCCUCACACUCUUCACAUCCCUCAAAAGCAGGGAUGCCACGCAGGUCGCGCUAGAAUCCGCCCUCUGGGGGGAGGGGGGGGGCGCUGGGCGCUGAGGCGCUGAGGCGCUGCGAAUUCCUUCGAAACGAGGUGCGGGCUCUUCGUUGCACAGUAUCGCGGCCAGCUGCAACGCCUUAUUGCACGCACGUACCCGAAAGAGGAUCUCUACCACGGCCCCUUUCUUGGUGCCGGGCUGCUUUGUGGAAGGAAGAGGGGAGCAGGCUCAGGGAGGCUCACCGCGGGUCGGCAGGGACGGAGGCCGGGCGGCUGCAGCUGGCGCUUGUCUUCCCACGCGGUCGUCAAGCCGUCGCGGGAUCAUGCGCUCGAGUAAACUGCGGGUAUUGCCAGCCAGCGCCGCAGGGAUGGCAGGGCGCACGGCCAGCACCCGGCAUGUGCAGCUUCAGAGGGGGCAAAAUGCGCCCCGCUCCACCCUUCAUUGCAGCAGCGGCGCGGCUGGUGGUGACGCUCCGGCCGUGGAUGUGCAGCGGUGCGCCCUCCCCGCCGUGCAUCUGUAGGGCUUUGGCGCCCUCACAGUAAAUCUCGUCAAGGCCGAUGGCGGGGCCCCAGUGGACUUUGUAGGGUGACAUCCCGGGCCCGCCUAUUGCGGGCGGUUGGAAGGGCGUAGCGCAGGGUCUCCGUAAAACGCCGUGGGGCGCGAGGGGGGGGGGGGCGGCCGAACGCUGCGCCGACCUCCGCCAACACCUUUGCCUGCUUUAUCGCGCUGAGGUGGCGGCCAACUUGUCCCACCACUCGUGCGCGCAGUGCACGCGGGCAUGGGUAGCCAAGAUGCGUGCCCGUGAUCGGGGGUCGCUGGGGGUGGGGGCGUUGCGGGGCCGCAUCCGUCCCUCAAGGCUGGUUCCUUGGUGCGGUUUCGCGGGCGUUCUCGGUAGGGGGAAAUGCUCCGGCGACGGGCGGGGCACCGUCUCGAGGGCUGCCCCCGAUGGUGCCAGUCUUGUCGCCCAGAAUGGUCUACCAGCGGUGAUGCCAGAUGGGGCGGCUUUCUCGGUGGUGGUUGCUAUCGGGGGGUGAUUUUAGCGUAUCGCGGGCGGGGGCGUUGUGGCGGUGUGUGGCGGCAUGGGCGAUCCGCCCUCCCUCCCCUUGGUGCUCUUCCAGCUUGUGGUGGCGGUCUCGGGGCUGGCGCGGCGCUCUGGGCCUGGCACGUCUUCGCUUCCCCGUCGCUGGGGCCUGCUCGCGGUCCUUGCGGGCCGAUUCGGCAAUCAGGGCGCGGCGCAGCUUUCGGUUCGCCGCGCGAAAAGGGAAUGGGUGGGCCCCGGUCAUCGCGGGCAGCGCCCGCCCACCCUCCUCCUCAGAGUGGGGCGGGGGGCUGGGCAGCGCGGCUGGCCACAAGGCGCCGUGGCGACGGUGCCCCGGCCGCGGACAAAGCAGCCGGACAGCGCGGGGUCAUCCAGUGAAAUCCCAGUGGCCCCGUCUGCGCUGUGCCCUGUCGGCGUGCCGUUGUCCCUUGCGCGCGUCGAGCAUCCGUCGCUCGGCCCGCCAUUUGGGAUGGCCCUGGCCCGGUCGCGUCGUCCCUUUCCCGUCCCGCACCCGGCGGCGCGAGCCGGCACCCAUCCCAAUAACGCGAGGGCUGGUGGGCGACGCCGUCCGGCACCUGAUCGAAAACCCCCGUGCAACCAGGUAACCCUUAACCGUGUGGCCACGCGUGGGGUGCAUCCGUCGAGUGGAGACAUGGCGGAAAAGCCAGGGCGCAGCUGCCGCAGCCUUGUCCUUUAGAACUGGGGAAAGAGGGCCUACACACCUAUCCGCGUGCCGCGCCGUGGCGUAUUGGCACGGAGGCGCCAGCGCCGUGACUCCUUUACGCCUGCUGCGCUGGGGUGCUGAAAGCCCGGGGGACCGAG